UACGAGGGGUGCAAACGUUAUUCGGAAUUACUGGGCGUAAAGGGUGCGUAGACGGCGACUCAAGUCAACUAUAAAAUCUCCCGGCUCAACCGGGAAUCUGUGGUUGAAACUGUGUUGCUAGAGGGUGGAAGAGAGAAGUGGAAUUCUCGGAGUAGCGGUAAAAUGCGUAGAUCUCGAGAGGAACACCGAUGGCGAAGGCAGCUUCUUGGUCCAUUUCUGACGUUGAUGCACGAAAGCGUGGGGAGCAAACAGG
rnacentral:rRNA from 1 species